AAUUUUGGACAAUGGGCGCAAGCCUGAUCCAGCCAUUCCGCGUGAGUGAAGAAGGCCUUCGGGUUGUAAAGCUCUUUCAGCAGGAACGAAACGGUGGGUCUUAAUACGGCCUGCUAAUGACGGUACCUGCAGAAGAAGCACCGGCUAACUACGUGCCAGCAGCCGCGGUAAUACGUAGGGUGCGAGCGUUAAUCGGAAUUACUGGGCGUAAAGCGUGCGCAGGCGGCGACAUAAGACAGAUGUGAAAUCCCCGGGCUCAACCUGGGAACGGCGUUUGUGACUGUGUGGCUAGAGUGUAGCAGAGGGGGGUGGAAUUCCACGUGUAGCAGUGAAAUGCGUAGAGAUGUGGAGGAACACCGAUGGCGAAGGCAGCCCCCUGGGUUAACACUGACGCUCAUGCACGAAAGCGUGGGGAGCAAAC
rnacentral:rRNA from 1 species